GAAACAUAUUCAGAUUUCAGCCCUGAAAAUGGACAUGGCUGACAAGAGACCAACUGUAUAUUUUGGAGCACAGUGAGACCUGUAAAGAAAUCCAGAACAUCAGUGAAAGACCAACUCAACCACCUGGUUUCGAAUCGACAGGAAAAAAUGUCAAAAUUAAACCUUCAACAUCAGCAGAAAAUGAGGGCUACAUAGGAAAGCAUGCAACAGCUUAGAGGUCAAGCCAUUUCUUCUGUACUCUGCUUCCUUAACUUAAGGAACGUUAUGAAACUGGGGCUGGAAGUGCCGAUAACUCCAGGGUGGGAGGCUGGUCCAGACUCCUUCGUGGUGGUGGCGACAUCGGAAGGUUGGACACUUCCAACAAUAGAGGCUAUGAAAUGGAAGAAAUGAAAUACUAUUAUAUAGUUUAACUCCAUUCAUCUCUUAAAUUAUAUCUUAUGUAUCUUAUACCCAAAAACACUCGAUAUGAUACCGAAAAAUCGCUAUUUAUUUCUUACCUCAUUCUGUUGGACGAUAAAAGUGGAGUCAAGGUUCGAGGCAGGGUUUGUCGAUGUCGGAGUGACUGAGGGUGGGUCCGCAAUACUCGUCUGUUUGGGGAAAAAAUAUUAGUUUAAUCGUGACGUUAACGGGUGAGCACCGUAAUUUGUAUAUCGACCAUUUUUUUAAUUUUACUUUUGAUGUGUUAUAUUCCUUACCUCAUCCAUAUAUGGCAUAGUGGGGUCAAUCAUCCUGGUUGCCUAUUAGACGGGCGGCUGCCGGGGAAAAACAAGAAAAGCUACAUAAAAUAUGUUAAAUAAAUUUGA